rnacentral:misc_RNA from 1 species
UGGCUCUCGCAUCGAUGAAGAACGCAGCGAAAUGCGAUAAGUAAUGUGAAUUGCAGAAUUCAGUGAAUCAUCGAAUCUUUGAACGCACCUUGCGCUCCUUGGUAUUCCGAGGAGCAUGCCUGUCUGAGUGUCUUGAAGUCAUCAGCCCCGAACGUUUCUUCUCGGAACGCUCGUCGGUUGGAUAUGGGGGACUGCUGCCGCGAGGCUGCUCCCCUCAAAUGCUUCGGUUGGGCCUGUGGGCCGAACUCGAUCGGGCGUUGUACCAUCCUCGCUCUCACCGAGUGGCCCGCGCCUAGCGCCCUUCCACGACCUGCCUUUUAGAGCGGCGGUCAAACCACACACUUUGAAAUCUGACCUCAGAUCAGGUAGGACUACCCGCUGA